rnacentral:rRNA from 1 species
UCAGACAUGCAAGUCGAACGCGAAAGCCUCCUUCGGGGGGCAAGUAGAGUGGCGCACGGGUGAGUAACACGUAGGUAAUCUACCUUUGGAUUGGGAAUAACCACCGGAAACGGUGGCUAAUACCGAAUAAUGCAGCGGCACCUAAUGGUGACAGUUGUUAAAGCGGGGGAUCGCAAGACCUCGCGUCUGAAGAGGAGCCUGCGGCAGAUUAGCUAGUUGGUAAGGUAACGGCUUACCAAGGCGAUGAUCUGUGGCCGGCCUGAGAGGGCGGUCGGCCACACUGACACUGACAUACGGGUCAGACUCCUACGGGAGGCAGCAGUCGGGAAUUUUGGGCAAUGGGCGAAAGCCUGACCCAGCAACGCCGCGUGAAGGAUGAAAUCCCUCGGGAUGUAAACUUCGCAAGAACGGGAAGAAUAAGUAAGGGUUAAUAUCUCUUACGAUGACGGUACUGUUUGUAAGCUCCGGCUAACUCCGUGCCAGCAGCCGCGGUAAUACGGGGGGAGCAAGCGUUGUUCGGAUUUACUGGGCGUAAAGGGCGCGUAGGCGGCCACCGCAAGUCGACUGUGAAAUCUCCGGGCUUAACCCGGAAAGGUCAGCCGAUACUGCGGGGCUAGAGUGCAGAAGGGGCAACUGGAAUUCUCGGUGUAGCGGUGAAAUGCGUAGAUAUCGAGAGGAACACCUGCGGCGAAGGCGGGUUGCUGGGCUGACACUGACGCUGAGGCGCGAAAGCUAGGGGAGCGAACGGGAUUAGAUACCCCGGUAGUCCUAGCCUUAAACGAUGAAUGCUUGGUGUCUGGGGUUUUAUAGUCCCCGGGUGCCGUCGCUAACGCUUUAAGCAUUCCGCCUGGGGAGUACGGUCGCAAGACUGAAACUCAAAGGAAUUGACGGGGACCCGCACAAGCGGUGGAGCAUGUGGUUUAAUUCGACGCAACGCGA